AUUAUUGGGCGUAAAGGGCUCGCAGGCGGUUUCUUAAGUCUGAUGUGAAAGCCCCCGGCUCAACCGGGGAGGGUCAUUGGAAACUGGGGAACUUGAGUGCAGAAGAGGAGAGAGGAAUUCCACGUGUAGCGGUGAAAUGCGUAGAGAUGUGGAGGAACACCAGUGGCGAAGGCGACUCUCUGGUCUGUAACUGACGCUGAGGAGCGAAAGCGUGGGGAGCGAACAGGAUUAGAUACCCUGGUAGUCCACGCCGUAAACGAUGAGUGCUAAGUGUUAGGGGGUUUCCGCCCCUUAGUGCUGCAGCUAACGCAUUAAGCACUCCGCCUGGGGAGUACGGUCGCAAGACUGAAACUCAAAGGAAUUGACGGGGGCCCGCACAAGCGGUGGAGCAUGUGGUUUAAUUCGAAGCAACGCGAAGAACCUUACCAGGUCUUGACAUCCUCUGACAAUCCUAGAGAUAGGACGUCCCCUUCGGGGGCAGAGUGACAGGUGGUGCAUGGUUGUCGUCAGCUCGUGUCGUGAGAUGUUGGGUUAAGUCCCGCAACGAGCGCAACCCUUGAUCUUAGUUGCCAGCAUUCAGUUGGGCACUCUAAGGUGACUGCCGGUGACAAACCGGAGGAAGGUGGGGAUGACGUCAAAUCAUCAUGCCCCUUAUGACCUGGGCUACACACGUGCUACAAUGGGCAGAACAAAGGGCAGCGAAACCGCGAGGUUAAGCCAAUCCCACAAAUCUGUUCUCAGUUCGGAUCGCAGUCUGCAACUCGACUGCGUGAAGCUGGAAUCGCUAGUAAUCGCGGAUCAGCAUGCCCCGGUGGAAUACGUUCCCGGGCCUUGUACACACCGCCCGUCACACCACGAGAGUUUGUAACACCCGAAGUCGGUGAGGUAACCUUUUAGGAGCCAGCCGCCGAA
rnacentral:rRNA from 1 species